rnacentral:misc_RNA from 1 species
GAUGAAGAACGCAGCGAAAUGCGACAAGUAAUGUGAAUUGCAGAAUUCCGUGAAUCAUCGAGUCUUUGAACGCACAUUGCGCCCCCUGGUAUUCCGGGGGGCAUGCCUGUCCGAGCGUCAUUGCUGCCCUCAAGCACGGCUUGUGUGUUGGGCCUCCGUCCUCCUCCCGGGGGACGGGCCCGAAAGGCAGCGGCGGCACCGCGUCCGGUCCUCGAGCGUAUGGGGCUUCGUCACCCGCUCUUGUAGGCCCGGCCGGCGCUUGCCGACACAUCAAUCUUUUUUCCAGGUUGACCUCGGAUCAGGUAGGGAUACCCGCUGAACUUAAGCAUAUCAAUAAGCGGAGGA